rnacentral:rRNA from 1 species
GACGUAGGAGGCGAGCGUUAUCCGGAUUCAUUGGGCGUAAAGGGCAAGUAGGCGGUUGUCAAAGUUGGGCGUGACAUCUCCCGGCUCAACUGGGAGGAUGCGUUCAAAACUAGGCGACUAGAGGGCAGGAGAGGGAAGUGGAAUUCCCAGUGUAGCGGUGGAAUGCUCAGAUAUUGGGAAGAACACCAGUGGCGAAGGCGGCUUCCUGGUCUGCACCUGACGCUGAGAGGCGAAAGCUAGGGGAGCAAACGGG